rnacentral:rRNA from 1 species
UAAAUUUAGAGUUUGAUCCUGGCUCAGGACGAACGCUGGCGGCGUGCUUAACACAUGCAAGUCGAGCGAUGAAGCUUCCUUCGGGAGGUGGAUUAGCGGCGGACGGGUGAGUAACACGUGGGUAACCUGCCUCAAAGUGGGGGAUAGCCUUCCGAAAGGAAGAUUAAUACCGCAUAAUAUAAGAGAAUCGCAUGAUUUUUUUAUCAAAGAUUUAUUGCUUUGAGAUGGACCCGCGGCGCAUUAGCUAGUUGGUAAGGUAACGGCUUACCAAGGCAACGAUGCGUAGCCGACCUGAGAGGGUGAUCGGCCACAUUGGAACUGAGACACGGUCCAGACUCCUACGGGAGGCAGCAGUGGGGAAUAUUGCGCAAUGGGGGAAACCCUGACGCAGCAACGCCGCGUGGGUGAUGAAGGUCUUCGGAUUGUAAAGCCCUGUUUUCUAGGACGAUAAUGACGGUACUAGAGGAGGAAGCCACGGCUAACUACGUGCCAGCAGCCGCGGUAAUACGUAGGUGGCGAGCGUUGUCCGGAUUUACUGGGCGUAAAGGGUGCGUAGGCGGAUGUUUAAGUGGGAUGUGAAAUCCCCGGGCUUAACCUGGGGGCUGCAUUCCAAACUGGAUAUCUAGAGUGCAGGAGAGGAAAGCGGAAUUCCUAGUGUAGCGGUGAAAUGCGUAGAGAUUAGGAAGAACACCAGUGGCGAAGGCGGCUUUCUGGACUGUAACUGACGCUGAGGCACGAAAGCGUGGGUAGCAAACAGGAUUAGAUACCCUGGUAGUCCACGCCGUAAACGAUGGAUACUAGGUGUAGGGGGUAUCAACUCCCCCUGUGCCGCAGUUAACACAAUAAGUAUCCCGCCUGGGGAGUACGGUCGCAAGAUUAAAACUCAAAGGAAUUGACGGGGGCCCGCACAAGCAGCGGAGCAUGUGGUUUAAUUCGAAGCAACGCGAAGAACCUUACCUGGACUUGACAUCCCUUGCAUAGCCUAGAGAUAGGUGAAGCCCUUCGGGGCAAGGAGACAGGUGGUGCAUGGUUGUCGUCAGCUCGUGUCGUGAGAUGUUAGGUUAAGUCCUGCAACGAGCGCAACCCUUGUUAUUAGUUGCUACCAUUAAGUUGAGCACUCUAAUGAGACUGCCUGGGUAACCAGGAGGAAGGUGGGGAUGACGUCAAAUCAUCAUGCCCCUUAUGUCCAGGGCUACACACGUGCUACAAUGGUAGGUACAAUAAGACGCAAGACCGUGAGGUGGAGCAAAACUUAUAAAACCUAUCUCAGUUCGGAUUGUAGGCUGCAACUCGCCUACAUGAAGCUGGAGUUGCUAGUAAUCGCGAAUCAGAAUGUCGCGGUGAAUACGUUCCCGGGCCUUGUACACACCGCCCGUCACACCAUGAGAGCUGGUAACACCCGAAGUCCGUGAGGUAACCGUAAGGAGCCAGCGGCCGAAGGUGGGAUUAGUGAUUGGGGUGAAGUCGUAACAAGGUAGCCGUAGGAGAACCUGCGGCUGGAUCACCUCCUUU